CGUGUAGGCGGUGCGAUAAGUCGGGCGUGAAAUCCCCGGGCUUAACCCGGGGCGGUCGCUCGAAACUGUCGUGCUCGAGGGUGGGAAAGGGAAGUGGAAUUUCCGGUGUAGCGGUGAAAUGCGUAGAUAUCGGGAGGAACACCUGCGGCGAAGGCGGCUUCCUGGACCAUUACUGACGCUGAGGCGCGAAAGCUAGGGGAGCAAACAGGAUUAGAUACCCUGGUAGUCCUGGCCCUAAACGUUGAGCACUGGAUGUAGCCCUUCACCGGGCUGUGUCGAAGCUAACGCAUUAAGUGCUCCGCCUGGGGAGUACGGUCGCAAGGCUGAA
rnacentral:rRNA from 1 species